AGGCAGCAGUUAGGAAUCUUCCGCAAUGGACGGAAGUCUGACGGAGCGACGCCGCUUGGAGGAGAAGCCCUUCGGGGUGUAAACUCCUGAACUGGGGACGAAAGCCCUGUGUAGGGGGAUGACGGUACCCAGGUAAUAGCGCCGGCCAACUCCGUGCCAGCAGCCGCGGUAAUACGGAGGGCGCGAGCGUUACCCGGAUUUACUGGGCGUAAAGGGCGUGUAGGCGGCCUGUGGCGUCCCAUGUGAAAGGCCACGGCUCAACCGUGGAGGAGCGUGGGAUACGCUCAGGCUAGAGGGUGGGAGAGGGUGGUGGAAUUCCCGGAGUAGCGGUGAAAUGCGCAGAUACCGGGAGGAACGCCGAUGGCGAAGGCAGCCACCUGGUCCACUUCUGACGCUGAGGCGCGAAAGCGUGGGGAGCAAACCGGAUUAGAUACCCCAGUAGUCC
rnacentral:rRNA from 1 species